AGCAGGGCGGCGUAACCGGCGUUUUUGGUGGCGAAUCCUUGGCGAGAGCUAUGGAACAGAUAGAUAGCCACAAAGUACAAUCUUCUGCCGGAGGAAGUUGAUAAAAUUUUCGAAAGUGUCUUCCGAUUUAAAUUUUUUUUGGUCCUUUAAUAAACUUUGACCGGAAGAAUGUAUGAUUAAUUUCACAUGGCUUGAUUAAUAACUGUCAAACAACAGCUUUUGUCCCUUUAGCAUUCCAGUUUUAGUGUAAAUAGGAUGUAUCUUAUUUGUUUAUUUGAAAAAUUCAGUUUAUAUGCUACGAACACUUGUUAAUUUAAUUUCUUCGAUAGAUUUAUUUUGUUGUAAAGCGAUUAGAAAAAUUUGAUAAAGUGAAGAUGUCUGAAAAUUCAGAUCCUAGUGUAAAAUCGAGGAAGUCUUAUGAAAGUGUUACGUCUAAUGGAGGACUUGAUAGUGUAUUUUCUAUGCAAUAUGAUCCAAGUUCAUUAUCCAGUCAACACAAGCAAUGGAUUGCCGUCAGAGAAGAUCGAAAAAAUUUAGUUUUGUGGAAACAGCCUUUUACUACUCUUCAGUAUUUUAUAAAAGAGUUACUCAUAGAUUUUUAUGAAUAUGGAACCCAAUUUCUCAAACACCAAAAGCUUGUUCUUAUAUGUCUCCUAGCCAUUGCCAUUAGUGUAACAUUCUAUCAUUUUGACGGUCCUCAUCAAAGAGUAAGCAAUUUUAUAUUUUGAUGUGUGC
rnacentral:misc_RNA from 1 species